GACGAACGCUGGCGGCGUGCUUAACACAUGCAAGUCGAACGAUGAAGCUGGAGCUUGCUCUGGUGGAUUAGUGGCGAACGGGUGAGUAACACAUGAGUAACCUGCCCUGGACUCUGGGAUAAGCGUUGGAAACGACGUCUAAUACCGGAUAGGACCUCGGAUCGCAUGAUCUGGGGUGGAAAGUUCUUCGGUCAGGGAUGGACUCGCGGCCUAUCAGCUUGUUGGUGAGGUAAUGGCUCACCAAGGCGUCGACGGGUAGCCGGCCUGAGAGGGUGACCGGCCACACUGGGACUGAGACACGGCCCAGACUCCUACGGGAGGCAGCAGUGGGGAAUAUUGCACAAUGGGCGCAAGCCUGAUGCAGCAACGCCGCGUGCGGGAUGACGGCCUUCGGGUUGUAAACCGCUUUUAGUAAGGAAGAAGGGGCUUCGGCCUUGACGGUACUUGCAGAAAAAGGACCGGCUAACUACGUGCCAGCCGCCGCCGUAAAAC
rnacentral:rRNA from 1 species